rnacentral:rRNA from 1 species
UGGGGAAUAUUGCACAAUGGGCGAAAGCCUGAUGCAGCAACGCCGCGUGAGUGAUGAAGGCCUUCGGGUUGUAAAGCUCUGCCUUUUGGGGACGAUAAUGACGGUACCAAAGGAGGAAGCCACGGCUAACUACGUGCCAGCAGCCGCGGUAAUACGUAGGUGGCAAGCGUUGUCCGGAUUUUACUGGGCGUAAAGGAUGCGUAGGCGGAUUUUUAAGUGAGAUGUGAAAUACCCGGGCUUAACUUGGGUGCUGCAUUUCAAACUGGGAAUCUAGAGUGCGGGAGAGGAGAAUGGAAUUCCUAGUGUAGCGGUGAAAUGCGUAGAGAUUAGGAAGAACACCAGUGGCGAAGGCGAUUCUCUGGACCUAACUGACGCUGAGGCAUGAAAGCGUGGUAGCAAACAGGAUUAGAUACCCUGGUAGUCCACGCCGUAAACGAUGAGUACUAGG